GUUUUAAAAUUUUAUUAAAUAUUAUAGAUUUGGUGUUUUGUAAUAUUGAUGUAUUGCAAAUAUAGUUGUAUGACUAUAUGUAUGAUUUAGAAUUUUAAUAUUUUAUUGAUUUUGUGUUUUUGGUGAUUGGUGUAUUGAUAAUAUAGUAGAAUAAAAGUGUAUAACAGGGCGUCGAAAGCUGGGGUAGAGCAAAUUUUAUUUUUUUUAUUUUUUUUUAAAAUCAGCGACGGAAUCGAAAUCCGUCGCUAAAGUUGCACAGGCGAAUACCGACGGAUUUUCUGUCCGUCGCUAUUUAGCGACGGAAUUUUCCGUCGCUGUUUCCGUCGCUAACGACUGACGACGAUUUCGACGUCGUUUUUCGCCGACGGUGGAGCCGUCGUUAUUUCCGUCGGAGAAUUACCGACGGACGGAAUUUCCGUCGGUAUUUAGUUUAGCGACCAGCUUUGCCGCGACUGACGGCCUCCGUCGGCCGUCCGUCGUUGAUCAAAAAUAGCGACGGAAAUUUUAGGAUCAGCGACGGAAAAUUUCGUCGCUGAUCGCGCAGUUUCUUGUAGUGGGUAAUGUUGUAUACUUGUAUAUAUGAUCUUUAUGACUAUAAUAAUGUACAUGGAAACUUUUUUUUUUUUUUGAAACCUACAUGGAAACUUAUUUAAGUUAGUAUUUAAUGCCAUAAUCCCUUAAAUACAGUAGUAACUGAUUAAUUUUAAAAGUAAAAUUAAUUUAAAAAACCCAUAUUAAACUUGCGCACUUAUAUUAACUAUAAAAUUG
rnacentral:lncRNA from 1 species